AGUUGAUCUCGGACCUUAUCGGUGCUCCAACACGUCGAUGAGGCCUUUUCUGAUAACUUGUUUCACUUCGUUUCGAAUAUGUUUCUUCUCUUAAUAUUUUUAUUAAUUAUGUAACAUUGAUUUUUAUGGUCCACGUAAAUUAUCAGCCAUGUUUCAUUGACUCUGCAAAUUCGUCGAUGCUUUUGAACUCGUUCGUUGCGUGUUGUCGACAUCGCAUGGUUGCUGAAAAUCAUUAUGGUCCUUAUAUCUUAUGAAAGCGUCAAAUUGAGGUUAUCGAUUGGGGAUCCACGCUCUGAAUAGGUGAUAUUGGGUGGGAGUAAUUUUUCGUAUUUUGUUGAGUUAUGAACAAUUUAGAUUUUUGUAAAUUUGAUUGAUCAAUUGUGUUAUUUUUAUCGGUUA